rnacentral:lncRNA from 1 species
UUUUAUCUACACUUUUGGAUGUAUUAUGUACAAACUGUACACCGCUAUAUCACGCUGUCUACACAAAGAUAGAAAUAAUAGCAAAACACACAUUAAAAAGAGUUAAAAAAAGAAAAUAAAAUAAGAGAAGAAAAUACUUACACGUCGUCUUCUACUUUUGAUUGUCACUCUCUCCCGGCGAACUAAAAAUUUCCAGAGAAGAAAUAAAAAAACAUUUGAGUCCUUUUUAACCAUUCCUCGUUGCUCCCACUUUCUCCUUCCCCAAUUUAAUUCUGCAAUAAAUAUUCGCCGAGCUUUCAUCGCACAUCUCUAUCCAUUAAAUCUAGUAAAGUUACAAUAAUUAAUAGCAACACGACGACUUUUCUUUUUGUUUUUAUUUUUCCCCUUGUUGUCAGUCUCCUUCGUGUAUUCACGUUACGUAUAAUAAGUCAUCACCAGCAGCCAUCCAUGGAUUGUUCUGUUUUGUUUCGCUGUUACUCAUGCAUCACCUUUCUCCUCUGUUAUUUAUAACACGACAACAUUUAAAAAAAAAAAAAAACUAGCUCUGUUCCGACAACUUUUUGAGGACAUGGUAGCUUCGUGUCCGAAAACAAUCGGUCUGAAAAGAGAAUGAGACUUGUAACAGAGUUCUUAAGAAAGUUGUUACCAUGGGUUGCGGAGGAUCCAAGAUUGAUGAGCAACAGCUUGUGAUUCUCUGCAGAGAACGCAAAGAGCUGAUCAAAACGGCGUCGCAUCACCGCACCGCUCUCGCCGUAGCUCAC